rnacentral:rRNA from 1 species
GAUGAACGCUGGCGGCGUGCCUAAUACAUGCAAGUCGAGCGAACAGACGAGGAGCUUGCUCCUCUGACGUUAGCGGCGGACGGGUGAGUAACACGUGGAUAACCUACCUAUAAGACUGGGAUAACUUCGGGAAACCGGAGCUAAUACCGGAUAAUAUAUUGAACCGCAUGGUUCAAUAGUGAAAGACGGUUUUGCUGUCACUUAUAGAUGGAUCCGCGCCGCAUUAGCUAGUUGGUAAGGUAACGGCUUACCAAGGCAACGAUGCGUAGCCGACCUGAGAGGGUGAUCGGCCACACUGGAACUGAGACACGGUCCAGACUCCUACGGGAGGCAGCAGUAGGGAAUCUUCCGCGAUGGGCGAGAGCCUGACGGGGCAACGCCGCGUGAGUGAUGAAGGUCUUCGGAUCGUAAAACUCUGUUAUUAGGGAAGAACAAAUGUGUAAGUAACUAUGCACGUCUUGACGGUACCUAAUCAGAAAGCCACGGCUAACUACGUG